GACGAACGCUGGCGGCGUGCAUAACACAUGCAAGUCAAGGGGGUCAGUAGCAAUACUGGCAACCGGCGAACGGGUGCGGAACACGUACAGAACCUUCCUUUAAGCGGGGGAUAGCCCGGAGAAAUCCGGAUUAAUACCCCAUAUUAAUGUUUAAUGGCAUCAUUAGAUAUUUAAAGAUUUAUCACUUAAAGAUGGCUGUGCGGCUGAUUAGGUAGUUGGUGUGGGUAACGGCCCACCAAGCCAUCGAUCAGUAACUGGUGUGAGAGCACGACCAGUCACACGGGCACUGAGACACGGGCCCGACUCCUACGGGAGGCAGCAGUAAGGAAUAUUGGUCAAU
rnacentral:rRNA from 1 species